rnacentral:rRNA from 1 species
GACGAACGCUGGCGGCGUGCCUAAUACAUGCAAGUCGAGCGAAGUUUUUCUGGUGCUUGCACCGGAAAAACUUAGCGGCGAACGGGUGAGUAACACGUAAAGAACCUGCCUCAUAGACUGGGACAACUAUUGGAAACGAUAGCUAAUACCGGAUAAUAGCAUUAACUGCAUGGUUGAUGUUUAAAAGUUGGUUUUGCUAACACUAUGAGAUGGCUUUGCGGUGCAUUAGCUAGUUGGUGGGGUAAAGGCCUACCAAGGCGACGAUGCAUAGCCGACCUGAGAGGGUGAUCGGCCACACUAGGACUGAGACACGGCCCAGACUCCUACGGGAGGCAGCAGUAGGGAAUCUUCCGCAAUGGGCGAAAGCCUGACGGAGCAACGCCGCGUGAGUGAAGAAGGAUUUCGGUUCGUAAAGCUCUGUUGUUAGGGAAGAAUGAUUGUGUAGUAACUAUACACAGUAGAGACGGUACCUAACCAGAAAGCCACGGCUAACUACGUG